rnacentral:lncRNA from 1 species
AAACGAGCAUGAAAUGAAUCCCCUUACCAUUCUUAAGAAAGCUGAGGGCUUCUGCUCGGCAUGUUAAUUCAUGAUUAUCUGUGAAGGGGCGGUAGAGAGAGAGGGCCGACAAGGCGACAACCUUUUAGUUGCCGGAGGUGAUGGCAUUAUUAAAACAACAGUACAGUGGGCUCCUUUACAGCACAUGAUUGGUCUAGGUGUCCGUUAUCUCCUGUCUGCUAGGAGCUUUGAGAUUCAUCCACCACUGCAUUUGAU